rnacentral:rRNA from 1 species
GUGAGUAUGCGUAGGAUCUACCUAGUAGUACGGAAUAGCCAUUAGAAAUGGUGGGUAAUACUGUAUAAUCCCCGAGGGGGAAAGAUUUAUCGCUAUUAGAUGAGCCUACGUUAGAUUAGCUAGUUGGUGAGGUAAUGGCUUACCAAGGCUAUGAUCUAUAGCUGGUCUGAGAGGACGAUCAGCCACACUGGAACUGAGAUACGGUCCAGACUCCUACGGGAGGCAGCAGUGGGGAAUAUUGGACAAUGGGCGAAAGCCUGAUCCAGCUAUGCCGCGUGAGUGAAGAAGGCCUUCGGGUUGUAAAACUCUUUCAAUAGGGAAGAUAAUGACGGUACCUAUAAAA